GGACCAAUGAUUACUUACAAAAACAAAUCUUGUUGUAAUCUGAACAAAAUGAGUGACCAAACCACUUCUGUGAGCUAAGGUUC
ensembl:snoRNA SNORD116 Small nucleolar RNA SNORD116